rnacentral:rRNA from 1 species
AGAGUUUGAUCCUGGCUCAGAGCGAACGCUGGCGGCAGGCCUAACACAUGCAAGUCGAGCGCCCCGCAAGGGGAGCGGCAGACGGGAGAGUAACACGUGGGAACAUACCUUUCAGUUCGGAACAACUCAGGGAAACUUGGGCUAAUACCGAAUACGUCCGUAAGGAGAAAGAUUUAUCGCUGAAAGAUUGGCCCGCGUCU